UAUGGACUUUGAAGUCCUUGAGGAUGUGGUAUAGUCACCAUACAUGUCUUCAGAUAGCAUCGAAUCUUCGUUAGCUCUCCAUCUUUGCAGGGCUUGAGGAAGGCUCAUAUUGAAGUCAAUAUUGAAACUAUCAUCUCCAUUAGAUGCAGUUGGAGUCCAUUGCUCUACCAGAGGAGCUAAGACACUCACUGCGUGGCCCAUAUCUGGUCUCUGAGAUGGUUCCCUAGCAGCACAGUGUCCUGCUAGCUCUACUACUUUGCAGAUGCUUUGGUUUUCAUCUAGUGCUUUUCUGCCAGUGAUCAUCUCCAUCAACAUCACUCCAAAUGCAAAGACAUCAAUUUUUGUAGUCACUCUUCCAGUGGCUAGUUUCAACAGACAAAGAUAUAUAUGAGAAUAAAUUGUAGAUACUUAGCAUUUGUAAACUGAACAUGCAUCAAGAACAUACAUGAUCAUAUUCCUAAUCAAACAUGAAUAUCCAAAAUACUUAGCUUGUUUUAUUAGGGAUA